rnacentral:rRNA from 1 species
UACGGAGGGUGCGAGCGUUGUCCGGAAUCACUGGGCGUAAAGGGCGCGUAGGUGGCCUGUGGAAGUCUGCGGUGAAAGCCCGGCGCUCAACGCCGGGUCGGCCGUGGAUACUCUCGGGCUCGAGCUUACUAGAGGCAGAUGGAAUUCCGGGUGUAGCGGUGGAAUGCGUAGGAGAUCCGGAAGAACACCGGUGGCGAAGGCGGUCUGCUGGGGUAAUGCUGACACUGAUGCGCGACAGCGUGGGGAGCAAACG